rnacentral:rRNA from 1 species
UGCUCAACAGCUAGCCCACCCCAAAACUUCAACAAGUCAAUCUAAAUACCCCCAAAGCACACUAAUUUUAAGUAAACAAACCAUUUUUCCCCCUUAGUAUAGGCGAUAGAAAAGGAUAUUAGGCGCAAUAGAGAAAGUACCGCAAGGGAAUGCUGAAAGAGAAAUGAAAUAACCCAGAAAAGCUAAGAAAAGCAGAGAUUUAACCUCGUACCUUUUGCAUCAUGAUUUAGCAAGUGUAACUUAAGCAAAGAGAACUAUAGUUUAAUACCCCGAAACUACGUGAGCUACUCCAAGACAGCCUAUUAUAGGGCAUACCCGUCUCUGUUGCAAAAGAGUGGGGAGAGCUUUGAGUAGAGGUGACAGACCUACCGAACCUAGUUAUAGCUGGUUGCCCAAGAAAUGAAUAGAAGUUCAGCUUCCUGGCUUCUCUUUUCACAUUAGCUUUACACCUACUGAUGUAUUUAAGAAACCAAGAAAGUUAGUCGAAGGGGGUACAGCCCCUUUGAAUCAAGACACAACUUUAACAGGAGGGUAAAGAUCAUA